AUGUCCUUAGUGGAUACACUACAACAUCUCGGAAUCGAUCACCUCUUUGAAGACCAGAUUGACACCGCUAUGAGGCAAAUCCUGAAGAGUGAAUUUAGUAACUACAACCUCUAUGAAGCUGCCCUUCCGUUUCGCUUGCUGAGGGAACAUGGACACUGGGUAUCUCCAGAUGUUUUUAAUCGAUUCAAAAGUGAAGAUGGAAGCUUCAUCAAUGAUAUAACAAAUGAACCCAGGACACUAUUAUGUCUAUACAAUGCAUCUCAUCUUCUAAUUCAUGGUGAGGCAGAACUCGAAGAAGCCAUAGCUUUUGCAAGGCAUCAUCUUGAGUCAUGUAGUAGUAGUUUAAAGACCCCACUAGCUCAACAAGUCCAACGUGCCCUUCACAUACUAAUGCCAAGGACAAAUAAGAGGGUGGAAAUGCUACAUUAUAUCCUAGAGUACGAACAAGAGGAGCAUAACCCGAUCCUACUGGAGCUUGCCAAAUUGGAUUUCAACCUUCAGCAAAAUUUCCACUUGAAGGAGCUCAAAGCUAUUACCAGGUAUGUUAUUUAUCUCUCUUAUAUAAACAGAAUAUAUAACCCAGUAAUGAUUCAUGAGUGGUUGCCCUCACAUACUACAUCUUCAAACAAACAAAAAGCCAAAAGUCUAGUUAAUACUACAUUUUAG
rnacentral:rRNA from 1 species